UGGGGAGUACGGUCGCAAGAUUAAAACUCAAAGGAAUUGACGGGGACCCGCACAAGCGGUGGAUGAUGUGGAUUAAUUCGAUGCAACGCGAAAAACCUUACCUACCCUUGACAUGUCAGGAAGGCCGAAGAGAUUUGGCUGUGCCCGAAAGGGAACCUGAACACAGGUGCUGCAUGGCUGUCGUCAGCUCGUGUCGUGAGAUGUUGGGUUAAGUCCCGCAACGAGCGCAACCCUUGUCAUUAGUUGCUACGCAAG
rnacentral:rRNA from 1 species